rnacentral:rRNA from 1 species
GUGGGGAAUAUUGGGCAAUGGGGGAAACCCUGACCCAGCGACGCCGCGUGAGAGAAGACGGCCUUCGGGUUGUAAACCUCUUUUGUACGGGAAGAAGGAAGUGACGGUACUGUACGAAUAAGUCCCGGCUAACUACGUGCCAGCAGCCGCGGUAAUACGUAGGGGACGAGCGUUGUCCGGAAUUACUGGGCGUAAAGGGCGCGCAGGCUGUGCUGCAAGUCAGCUGUGAAAUGUCUGGGCUUAACCCGGGCAUGCGGUUGAGACUGCAGUGCUGGAGUGCUGUAGAGGCAAGUGGAAUUCCCAGUGUAGCGGUGAAAUGCGUAGAUAUUGGGAAGAACACCGGUGGCGAAGGCGACUUGCUGGGCAGCAACUGACGCUGAGGCGCGAAAGCCAGGGGAGCAAACGGGAUUAGAAACCCUUGUAGUCC